rnacentral:rRNA from 1 species
GAUGAACGCUGGCGGCGUGCCUAAUACAUGCAAGUCGAGCGAAGCGGGGACGGGUGAGUAACACGUGGAUAACCUCCUAUAAGACUGGGAUAACUUCGGGAAACCGGAGCUAAACCGGAAUCUUAUCGCUGGUUCCGCGAUGCAUUAGCUAGUUGGUAAGGUAACGGCUUAUCACGGCACCGAUCCAUAGCCGACCGGAGAGGGUGAGCGGCAACACUGGAACUGAGAAACGGUCCAGACUCCUACGGGAGGCAGCAGUGGGGAAGCUUCCGCAAUGGGCGAAAGCCUGACGGAGCAACGCGGCGUGGGUGAUGAAGGUCUCCGGAUCGUAAAACUCGGUUAUUAGGGAAGCGGUACCUAAUCAGAAAGCCACGGCUAACUACGUGCCAGCAGCCGCGGUAAUUC